rnacentral:rRNA from 1 species
GAUGAACGCUGGCGGCGUGCCUAAUACAUGCCAGUCGAGCGAACAGACGAGGAGCUUGCUCCUCUGACGUUAGCGGCGGACGGGUGAGUAACACGUGGAUAACCUACCUAUAAGACUGGGAUAACUUCGGGAAACCGGAGCUAAUACCGGAUAAUAUAUUGAACCGCAUGGUUCAAUAGUGAAAGACGGUUUUGCUGUCACUUAUAGAUGGAUCCGCGCCGCAUUAGCUAGUUGGUAAGGUAACGGCUUACCAAGGCAACGAUGCGUAGCCGACCUGAGAGGGUGAUCGGCCACACUGGAACUGAGACACGGUCCAGACUCCUACGGGAGGCAGCAGUAGGGAAUCUUCCGCAAUGGGCGAAAGCCUGACGGAGCAACGCCGCGUGAGUGAUGAAGGUCUUCGGAUCGUAAAACUCUGUUAUUAGGGAAGAACAAAUGUGUAAGUAACUAUACACGUCUUGACGGUACCUAAUCAGAAAGCCACGGCUAACUACGUG